rnacentral:rRNA from 2 species
CAUCAUGGCCCUUACGACCAGGGCUACACACGUGCUACAAUGGCGCAUACAAAGAGAAGCGACCUCGCGAGAGCAAGCGGACCUCAUAAAGUGCGUCGUAGUCCGGAUUGGAGUCUGCAACUCGACUCCAUGAAGUCGGAAUCGCUAGUAAUCGUGGAUCAGAAUGCCACGGUGAAUACGUUCCCGGGCCUUGUACACACCGCCCGUCACACCAUGGGAGUGGGUUGCAAAAGAAGUAGGUAGCUUAACCUUCGGGAGGGCGCUUACCACUUUGUGAUUCAUGACUGGGGUGAAGUCGUAACAAGGUAACCGUAGGGGAACCUGC